AUUGAACGCUGGCGGCAGGCUUAACACAUGCAAGUCGAGCGGUAGCACAGGGGAGCUUGCUCCCUGGGUGACGAGCGGCGGACGGGUGAGUAAUGUCUGGGAAACUGCCUGAUGGAGGGGGAUAACUACUGGAAACGGUAGCUAAUACCGCAUAACGUCGCAAGACCAAAGAAGGGGACCUUCGGGCCUCUUGCCAUCAGAUGUGCCCAGAUGGGAUUAGCUAGUAGGUGGGGUAAUGGCUCACCUAGGCGACGAUCCCUAGCUGGUCUGAGAGGAUGACCAGCCACACUGGAACUGAGACACGGUCCAGACUCCUACGGGAGGCAGCAGUGGGGAAUAUUGCACAAUGGGCGCAAGCCUGAUGCAGCCAUGCCGCGUGUGUGAAGAAGGCCUUCGGGUUGUAAAGCACUUUCAGCGAGGAGGAAGGUGGUGAGCUUAAUACGUUCAUCAAUUGACGUUACUCGCAGAAGAAGCACCGGCUAACUCCGU
rnacentral:rRNA from 1 species